AACGAACGCUGGCGGCGUGCUUAACACAUGCAAGUCGAACGCGAAAGGGACUUCGGUCCUGAGUAGAGUGGCGCACGGGUGAGUAACGCGUAAGUGAUCUACCCCUGUAUUUGGGAUAACUAUGGGAAACUGUAGCUAAUACCGGAUACGUUCAUGUAGUUGCGAUUAUGUGAAGAAAGAUGGCCUCUGAUUCAAGCUAUUGUAAAGGGAGGAGCUUGCGUACCAUUAGCUAGUUGGUAGGGUAAUGGCCUACCAAGGCAACGAUGGUUAGCGGGUCUGAGAGGAUGAUCCGCCACACUGGAACUGAAACACGGACCAGACUCCUACGGGAGGCAGCAGUGAGGAGUAUUGCGCAAUGGGGGCAACCCUGACGCAGCGACGCCGCGUGGAUGAUGAAGGCCUUCGGGUCGUAAAAUCCUGUCAGAUGGGAAGAAGUGCGAGGUGGUUAAUACCCAUUUUGUUUGACGGUACCAUCAGAGGAAGCACCGGCUAACUCCGUGCCAGCCGCCGCGGUAACAC
rnacentral:rRNA from 1 species